CGCCAUCAACGCGAUGCCUCACUUGUUUGGAGGUUGGCAUGUGGUGGACAGGCGACGAGCGUUCUUUGGUAGCCGCUCCGGUAGAAUAGCAAGCUAUCAGUGGUACUCUGUUUGUUUGGAUCAGAGGAAGCUCACGCAGAGGUCGGAGAGGGUGAAUUCCGUGGAUCUGCAUACGACAUAGCCAUGGGGAAACAAUGGAUGGAUAGAUCAUCAAGGUUCAGGUCUUCAGAUCUGAAGCUUGGUAUGAAACAUCUAGGUAUUCAUCAAUAAAGUUUGUCUGAGUUAAUCUACUGCGAGUUCCCAGAUUAUUGGCCGAC